rnacentral:rRNA from 1 species
UACAGAGGGUGCAAACGUUGUUCGGAAUUACUGGGCGUAAAGCGUGUGUAGGCGGCUACGCAAGUCGGAUGUGAAAGCCCUGGGCUCAACCCAGGAAGUGCAUUCGAAACUGCGGAGCUGGAGUCCUGGAGAGGAAGGCGGAAUUCCCGGUGUAGAGGUGAAAUUCGUAGAUAUCGAGAGGAACACCGGUGGCGAAGGCGGCCUUCUGGACAGUGACUGACGCUGAGACACGAAAGCGUGGGGAGCGAACAGG